AUUGAACGCUGGCUGCAGGCCUAAUACAUGCAAGUCGAACGAGUGGCGGACGGGUGAGUAAUGUCUGGGAAACUGCCCGAUGGAGGGGGAUAACUACUGGAAACGGUAGCUAAUACCGCAUACCAUCGGAUGUGCCCAGAUGGGAUUAGCUUGUAGGUGAGGUAACGGCUCACCUAGGCGACGAUCCCUAGCUGGUCUGAGAGGAUGAACAGCCACACUGGGACGGAGAUACGGGCCAGAAUCCUACGGGAGGCAGAAGGGGGGAAUAGUGCAAAAUGGGCGAAAGCCUGAUGCAGCCAUGCGGCGUGAAUGAAGAAGGCCAUCGGAUUGUAAAGUACUUACAGCGGGGAGGCGUUACCCGCAGAAGAAACACCGGCUAACUCCGUGCCAGCAGCCGCGGUAAUAC
rnacentral:rRNA from 1 species